rnacentral:rRNA from 1 species
AUAUCUCGGCUCUCGCCACGAUGAAGAAUGUAGCGAAAUGCGAUACUUAGUGUGAAUUGCAGAAUCCCGUGAAUCAUCAAGUCUUUGAACGCAAGUUGCGCCCGAGGCCUCGGCCAAGGGCACGUCUGCUUGGGCGUCGCACUCCA